AACGAACGCUGGCGGCAGGCUUAACACAUGCAAGUCGAACGGGCCCUUCGGGGUCAGUGGCAGACGGGUGAGUAACGCGUGGGAACGUGCCCUUCAGUUCGGAAUAACCCAGGGAAACUUGGGCUAAUACCGGAUACGUGCGAGAGCAGAAAGAUUUAUCGCUGAAGGAUCGGCCCGCGUCUGAUUAGCUAGUUGGUGAGGUAAUGGCUCACCAAGGCGACGAUCAGUAGCUGGUCUGAGAGGAUGAUCAGCCACAUUGGGACUGAGACACGGCCCAAACUCCUACGGGAGGCAGCAGUGGGGAAUAUUGGACAAUGGGCGCAAGCCUGAUCCAGCCAUGCCGCGUGAGUGAUGACGGCCUUAGGGUUGUAAAGCUCUUUCAGCGGGGACGAUAAUGACGGUACCCGCAGAAGAAGCCCCGGCUAACUUCGUGCCAGCCGCCGCGGUAACAC
rnacentral:rRNA from 1 species